CCUACGGGUGGCUGCAGUGGGGAAUAUUGGACAAUGGGCGAAAGCCUGAUCCAGCCAUGCCGCGUGUGUGAAGAAGGCCUUCGGGUUGUAAAGCACUUUCAGUGGGGAAGAAAGCCUUGGGGCUAAUACCCUCGAGGAAGGACAUCACCCACAGAAGAAGCACCGGCUAACUCCGUGCCAGCAGCCGCGGUAAUACGGAGGGUGCGAGCGUUAAUCGGAAUUACUGGGCGUAAAGCGCGCGUAGGCGGUCUGAUAAGCCGGUUGUGAAAGCCCCGGGCUCAACCUGGGAACGGCAUCCGGAACUGUCAGGAUAGAGUGCAGGAGAGGAAGGUAGAAGUCCCGGUGUAGCGGUGAAAUGCGUAGAGACCGGGAGGAAUACCAGUGGCGAAGGCGGCCUUCUGGACUGACACUUACGCUGAGGUGCGAAAGCGUGGGUAGUAAACAGGAUUAGAUACCCUAGUAGUC
rnacentral:rRNA from 1 species